rnacentral:rRNA from 1 species
UACGGAGGGUGCAAGCGUUAUCCGGAUUCACUGGGUUUAAAGGGUGCGUAGGAGGGCAGGUAAGUCAGUGGUGAAAUCUCCAAGCUUAACUUGGAAACUGCCGUUGAUACUAUCUGUCUUGAAUAUUGUGGAGGUGAGCGGAAUAUGUCAUGUAGCGGUGAAGUGCUUAGAUAUGACAUAGAACACCAAUUGCGAAGGCAGCUCGCUACUCAAUUAUUGACUCUGAGGCACGAAAGCGUGGAGAGCGAACAGG